CGCGCGAUACAGGGUGACAGCCCCGUACACAAAAGCGCAUGUGUUGUGAGCUCGAUGAGUAGGGCGGGACACGUGGUAUCCUGUCUGAAUAUGGGGGGACCAUCCUCCAAGGCUAAAUACUCCUGACUGACCGAUAGUGAACCAGUACCGUGAGGGAAAGGCGAAAAGAACCCCGGCGAGGGGAGUGAAAAAGAACCUGAAACCGUGUACGUACAAGCAGUGGGAGCACCCUUCGGGGUGUGACUGCGUACCUUUUGUAUAAUGGGUCAGCGACUUAUAUUCUGUAGCAAGGUUAACCGAAUAGGGGAGCCGGAGGGAAACCGAGUCUUAAUUGGGCGUUAAGUUGCAGGGUAUAGACCCGAAACCCGGUGAUCUAGCCAUGGGCAGGUUGAAGGUUGGGUAACACUAACUGGAGGACCGAACCGACUAAUGUUGAAAAAUUAGCGGAUGACCUGUGGCUGGGGGUGAAAGGCCAAUCAAACCGGGAGAUAGCUGGUUCUCCCCGAAAGCUAUUUAGGUAGCGCCUCGUGAAUUCAUCUCCGGGGGUAGAGCACUGUUUCGGCUAGGGGGCCAUCCCGGCUUACCAACCCGAUGCAAACUGCGAAUACCGGAGAAUGUUAUCACGGGAGACACACGGCGGGUGCUAACGUCCGUCGUGAAGAGGGAAACAACCCAGACCGCCAGCUAAGGUCCCAAAGUCAUGGUUAAGUGGGAAACGAUGUGGGAAGGCCCAGACAGCCAGGAUGUUGGCUUAGAAGCAGCCAUCAUUUAAAGAAAGCGUAAUAGCUCACUGGUCGAGUCGGCCUGCGCGGAAGAUGUAACGGGGCUAAACCAU
rnacentral:rRNA from 1 species